UACGAAGGGGGCUAGCGUUGCUCGGAAUUACUGGGCGUAAAGCGCACGUAGGCGGCUCUUUAAGUCGGGGGUGAAAUCCUGGAGCUCAACUCCAGAACUGCCUUCGAUACUGUAGAGCUUGAGUUCGGGAGAGGUGAGUGGAACUGCGAGUGUAGAGGUGAAAUUCGUAGAUAUUCGGAAGAACACCAGUGGCGAAGGCGACUCGCUGGACAGACAUUGACGCUGAGGUGCGAAAGCGUGGGGAGCAAACAGG
rnacentral:rRNA from 1 species